CUCCAGUUGAUCGCAUGGUCUUCUGGGAAAGCUUUCGCGGUAUGGGAUGGGGUCGCGUCCUAUCAGCUUGACGGCGGGGUAACGGCCCACCGUGGCUUCGACGGGUAGCCGGCCUGAGAGGGCGACCGGCCACAUUGGGACUGAGAUACGGCCCAGACUCCUACGGGAGGCAGCAGUGGGGAAUAUUGCACAAUGGGCGCAAGCCUGAUGCAGCGACGCCGCGUGAGGGAUGGAGGCCUUCGGGUUGUAAACCUCUUUUAUCGGGGAGCAAGCGAGAGUGAGUUUACCCGUUGAAUAAGCACCGGCUAACUACGUGCCAGCAGCCGCGGUAAUACGUAGGGUGCAAGCGUUAUCCGGAAUUAUUGGGCGUAAAGGGCUCGUAGGCGGUUCGUCGCGUCCGGUGUGAAAGUCCAUCGCUUAACGGUGGAUCCGCGCCGGGUACGGGC
rnacentral:rRNA from 1 species